rnacentral:rRNA from 1 species
UACGUAGGGCGCAAGCGUUGUCCGGAAUUAUUGGGCGUAAAGAGCUCGUAGGCGGCUUGUCACGUCGGGUGUGAAAGCCCGGGGCUUAACCCCGGGUCUGCAUUCGAUACGGGCUAGCUAGAGUGUGGUAGGGGAGAUCGAAUUCCUGGUGUAGCGGUGAAAUGCGCAGAUAUCAGGAGGAACACCGGUGGCGAAGGCGGAUCUCUGGGCCAUUACUGACGCUGAGGAGCGAAAGCGUGGGGAGCGAACGGG